CUUAACUUACUUCAGUUGCUGGGAGGUGGGGCGUCUAGGAGGGCGCGUACGACGAAUGAACGCGAGUAUUAGCAGCGACAUACGUCUCUUCUACAUAACCUGUUUAGACGCAUUUUGCGAGAUAUUGCUUCUCCGGAUAAAUCGCGAGUUGAGAGAGACAAACACGAGUCUAUACUGCAACGUUCGUGAUUCGUUAAUCGUUCAAGAAAAAUAACGAAGAGAUUAACGUAUUAAAUAGACGUAACGAACUGUAUAGGAAAAAACAUAACAAACUAGUUUUCUUCAUUUGACUCUUUUAUUCCUCGCCAUAUUUCACGAGAAAAUAACGCGUAGAAGUAACGGAGAAAAAAGUAGUGGUUUAUAGUUGAGAAUGAAGAGCUGAGAAAUAAACUUGUGGCAGUUAGAGUUGGAGCGAUGAGCGGUUCUCGGCUUGGAAGAGGCCGAGGUGGUCGCCUGGCCGUGUACGGGGGUUGCGGGGUGGUGAUCAUACUUUUGGUCUUCCUUUACCGCGCCGCCACCUCAGAGAUGGCCAGGCUACGUGAACUUCAUAUACAAUGCCUUCAUCAACACGAAUCACUCGCUGCACAACUUCAAGUUAUAUUCGAGUACAAGGUGCGCCUAGAAAAAUCAUUGGCCGAGGAGAAGAGUUCUAACGCAAUGGUCAAACAGGAAUUACAGCAACGUGCCUCGCGAGAAAAAUCAUUGAGAGACAAGGAUAGUAUAGAGGCUAUGCAAAGAUUUAAAUCUCUUCAACAGACUUAUAAGAUUCUUGAAACCGAGCAUCAGGAUCUUCAAGAAGAGUGUAAGAAACGAGAGAGUCAGGCAUUGGAGGAAAGGAACAAGUUGGAAUCUACUCAUAAGGAUCUUAUCAGGCAAACUAACGAGAAUAAAGAUAAAAUUAUAAGUGAGAAGGAAAAGACAUUGGAAAAUUUUAAAAACAAAUAUUUUGAAUUGGAAACGCUAAAGAACAGAUUGGAGAAUCAGUACAACGAUUUAAUUAAAAAUAAUGAUAAUACCGACAGUACUAUGGAACAUAUGAGAAAGGAAAUAUUUCAACUGAGAGCAAAAUUGGAUGAAACACAGAAACGAUGCAAAUCCACUUUAGCGGAAACAAGUUUGGUUAGUCCUAAAGAAUCACAGCAGCCAAAUGAUCAAAACUUGACGGGUAAUGUCGUGAUAGAUCCGACACAACCAGAAGAACAACAACAACAACAGCAGCAGCAACAGCAACAACAACAGCAGCAGCAACAGCAACAGGCUCAACAACAAAACAUGCAGGCGGUUGUUUCAUCAAGCUCGAUUAAGACGAUAUCAUCAUUGAAAUUGGAAACCAGCACGAAAACCAACACUAAUAUCGAUUCCGUAUCAUCGAACAAAGUUUUCAAGACUUCAUCUAAGGUGAAAAUUCCACCUGGCGUAUUACCGAUUCUCAUGAUAAUGGAUCAGAAUGUUGUUGAAAAGAUUGACAAAGAGAAGACCAAUGAUAAAAAACAAGCCAAGAAAAAGGAUGAAACUGGACAGAAUAUAACUUUAAAGAAAAAAAACAUUGUGCCAGAAGUAAAUAGUAAAGAAAAAGAAAAUGAAAUAAUAGAUAAGGAUAACGAUAACGAUAACGAUAACGAUAACAUAGAUUCACCGUAUAAAAUUUUAUCGGCAAACAAAUAUGCCGAUGAUCAGAACGCUGCUGCUAGACGACAAAAUGGCAAUUGGUUUAAGGUGAAACCAGGUGUACAGGAAUUUGGGGAGGAGCCUAAUCCGAUCGAUCGAUUAGCUGGAUUGGAAAACAUAGUUGGUAGACAAUUUGAUACAGGUGAUGAACAAUACGUUGGUGCCGAUUUUGAACCUCAAGCUCAAAAAGUAGAUGAUUUGCGUUUGGCAGAGGGUGAAGAGGAAGAAGGUAAUAAAUAAUUGGAGAUAUUUAAUCGAUCAUACGAUCGAUGAUACACCACAACAAAAUAAAAAGACGAGGACGAUCCCGAGGAUAUUAUUUGAACGAAACGAGGAUGCGUUACGUGGUUCGAUGUUAAUAACGAGCGAGACUUAUUUUUCACGAGACAAAUCAAUCAUACUUACAUAAUUUCAUUAUUUUCGAUAGAAUAUCUUUUCUCGUAGAGAAUAAAUUAGAAAUGAAAAGAUUUUUUUAAUUAAACUUUACGACGAAAGAAAAAAUACGAUACAUAGUUCAAGAAGAUAACGCAACAAUAUUUUGUUAAUGACGAUCGUAAUAAGAAAACUAAAUGUGAAAGUUUCUAAACUAUUUAUUCAAAUAUUAUC
rnacentral:misc_RNA from 1 species